rnacentral:rRNA from 1 species
UACGAAGGACCCGAGCGUUAUCCGGAUUUAUUGGGUUUAAAGGGUGCGUAGGUGGAACGGUAAGUCAGUGGUGAAAGCCUGUUGCUUAACAACAGAACUGCCAUCGAUACUGCCGAUCUUGAGUACAUAUGAUGUGGGCGGAAUGUGCCAUGUAGCGGUGAAAUGCUUAGAUAUGGCACAGAACACCGAUUGCGAAGGCAGCUCACAAAACUGUAACUGACACUGAGGCACAAAAGCGUGGGGAUCAAACAGG